rnacentral:rRNA from 1 species
AGCAGCCGCGGUAAUUCCAGCUCCAAUAGCGUAUAUUAAAGUUGUUGCAGUUAAAAAGCUCGUAGUUGAAUUUUGGGUCUGGCCGGGCGGUCCGCCCUCUGGGUGAGCACUGUUCCGACGCCGGGCCUAUCCUUCUGGUGAGUCGGCAUGUCCUUUAUUGGGUGUGUCGGGGAACCAGGACCAUUACCUUGAAAAAAUUAGAGUGUUCAAAGCAGGCGUAUGCUCGAAUACAUUAGCAUGGAAUAAUGAAAUAGGACGCGUGGUGCUAUUUUGUUGGUUUCUAGAACCGCCGUAAUGAUUAAUAGGGAUAGUUGGGGGCAUUAGUAUUCAAUUGUCAGAGGUGAAAUUCUUGGAUUUAUUGAAGACUAACUUCUGCGAAAGCAUUUGCCAAGGAUGUUUUCAUUAAUCAAGAACGAAAGUUAGGGGAUCGAAGACGAUCAGAUACCGUCGUAGUCUUAACCAUAAACUAUGCCGAC